UACGGGGGGAGCAAGCGUUGUUCGGAUUUACUGGGCGUAAAGGGCGCGUAGGCGGUCGUGACAAGUCACUUGUGAAAUCUCCGGGCUUAACUCGGAACGGUCAAGUGAUACUGUCGGACUAGAGUACAGAAGGGGCAACUGGAAUUCUCGGUGUAGCGGUGAAAUGGCGUAGAUAUCGAGAGGAACACCUGCGGCGAAGGCGGGUUGCUGGGCUGAUACUGACGUGAGGCGCGAAAGCCAGGGGAGCGAACGGG
rnacentral:rRNA from 1 species